GUAGUUAGCCGGGGCUUCCUUCUUGGAUACCAUCAUCAUUUUCUCCAAGGAUAGAAGUUUACAAUCCGAAAACCUUCUUCCCUCACGCGGCGUUGCUGGGUCAGGCUUGCGCCCAUUGCCCAAUAUUCCCCACUGCUGCCUCCCGUAGGAGUCUGGACCGUGUCUCAGUUCCAGUGUGGCCGAUCAGCCUCUCAGCUCGGCUACCCAUCGCAGGCUUGGUGGGCUGUUAUCUCACCAACUACCUAAUGGGACGCGAACCCCUCCUUCAGCGGAUUGCUCCUUUGACCCCUGAGCCAUGCGACUCUGUGGUCUUAUGCGGUAUUAGCACUUGUUUCCAGGUGUUAUCCCCCUCAAAAGGGCAGGUUGUUCACGCGUUACUCACCCGUCCGCCGCUCAAACACAACCGAAGCCGUUGUCUUCGCUCGACUUGCAUGUGUUAGGCACGCCGCCAGCGUUCGUCCUGAGCCAGGAUCAAACUCUGA
rnacentral:rRNA from 1 species